rnacentral:rRNA from 1 species
AGCGAACGCUGGCGGCAGGCUUAACACAUGCAAGUCGAACGCCCCGCAAGGGGAGUGGCAGACGGGUGAGUAACACGUGGGAACGUACCCUUUGGUUCGGAAUAACUUGGGGAAACUCAAGCUAAUACCGGAUAAGCCCUUAUGGGGAAAGGUUUACUGCCGAAGGAUCGGCCCGCGUCUGAUUAGCUAGUUGGUGAGGUAAUGGCUCACCAAGGCGACGAUCAGUAGCUGGUCUGAGAGGAUGAUCAGCCACACUGGGACUGAGAUACGGCCCAGACUCCUACGGGAGGCAGCAGUGGGGAAUAUUGGACAAUGGGGGCAACCCUGAUCCAGCCAUGCCGCGUGAGUGAUGAAGGCCUUAGGGUUGUAAAGCUCUUUUACCCGGGACGAUAAUGACAGUACCGGGAGAAUAAGCCCCGGCUAACUUCGUGCCAGCAGCCGCAGUAA